GGAAAAAGAAGAGAAGGGAUUGGAAACGAACGCUCUGCUUUAAGAGAGAGGAAAAGAAGAAUACCUGGAGAGAUCAGAGCCCGUUUGGAGGCAGAGAUGAAGAGAAAAACUGAUGGUUCGAGAACGGAACGAGCUGGCCAGGAGCACACAUGUUAUUCACGUCUAGUGAUGAGGAAAAAGUUCUUUUCUUAACUGCUUUUAUAAAAGACCACACAUCCCCACGUACAGCUGGUGUGAUUUGAACCUGAUCUUGAGAGAUUCCCUGAGGACAUGAACCAGAAGCACCCAGAUCACCCACUGGAAAGAACCACACAAUAAGAGUGGAGUCAGCACACAUGAGGAGACUCGGGCUGCAGAACCUUGAAUAACUCAGCCAUUCUGGAAAUCUG